AAUGCCCCAAAGGUAUGUAUAUAUAUAUUUUGUUUUUAAUUUUAUAUAUAUAUAUAUAUUUUUAUACUUAAUUUAAAUAAAAAAGGAAAAGAAAAAGAAAUCUAUCUCUCUCUCUCUCUCGCGCGCACACAACCCCCUCUCAUUUUUCUUUUCUUCUCCUUCCGGUACCCUAGCAACCGCCCACCCACCUUCCCCUUCUCUCCGUUCGCAGCGCAGCAACCGCCAUCCCAUCCAUUCUCCUUCCCGUUCGUAGCAACCGCCGCCGACCAUCUCCUCUCUCCCUUCUCCUUCAUUUUUCUGGCGCCGCCGUUACCCAAACCCCCAACUGCUCGUCGCGGUUCGUCAGCGCCUCCCUCCUGUCCAGAUCCGCAAUCGUUCGAGCCACUUCAUCACACUGUCCGUCAUCUUCUGCUAGUCGCAUUGCUCGGAAAUUUGCGUUGCUCAGCUUGCACAAGUCUUCUGCCUCACGUUUUUGUGCCGUCGUGACGUCCGCAGCCGUUCCACACCGCCACGACUUUCCAUAUUCCAACUGAGGGUUUUGUUCCGCUUUCGUCAACCAUAUGCGCCGUCGCGCGUCUGUUCGUCGGCCGACAGUAAGGUAGCAUCGUGCUUCUUCUUCCAGCCGCGAUUCACAAACCGACGUACACUCUAAUCUGUUUGUACGAUCUUUUGUCGUUUAGGCUCGAUCGCCGUUGCCGCUAUUUUGUUGUGAGUUCUCUGAUAAGUGAAAUUGAUGGUUUCUACGUGAUGGAUUGUUAAGAUGAAAUAUCAAAUUUAAACGUUUGGUUAACAUUGUUCUUGAAGGUGUUGGAAGUAACGUUGAGUUCCUUGAAUUCACAACCAACUUGUAAUUUGUUGGAGUUCAGUUCGCUAAUACCUUGGUGUCUUUCAUUGGAUAUAGUUUGUUCGAGAAAUUGAGUUACCUUAAGGUAAGGGGUUUUCUUACUGGACUCACUUAUGAUUGUGAAUUGUAUGUCUGAAUGAUUAUCUUUGACCUGAGUAAAGAUGUUGAGAUGAUACUUAUGAAUGUACACUGUGGAUUGACUGAAAAUAUAUAUAUAUGCAUAGGAAUUGAAGUAGACUUAAUGUUGAAUGCAUAUUGUGAUCGUCAUGGAAUAUAUAUAUAUGUGUGUGGAUGUGGACAGGACGAAAAUUGUAGAUUAUGCUUGUAUGAGAUGCAGAUGCGAUCUUGUGAUUGUCGUUUAGAUUGUGGGUGUCGUUACGCUAAAGUAUGACUGUGUGCUGGUGAUCUGAGGGGUGUAUUGACUGUACAGUGGAUUGACUGAUGUAUUAGUAUUUUAUUGACAGACAUAUGAUUGUAGUAAAAUAAGUUGACUGUUUAGGAUGUUGAAGGAAAGGACUUUGUGAUUUGAAGUAACUGAAAGAUGGGUUGAAUGGAAUGAGGGGAUAAAUUGUUAGGUUGUAUUGGGAUGUUUACCUUGUAGGUGUCCCACGGGAUCACCAAUUUAUUUUGCACCUUCGGGAGCAUUUGACUGAUAUGUGUUUCUGCAGAACACUAGACUGAUAUGAACGUCCCUCUGGGCGUUAGACUGAUAUGAACGUCCCUCGGGCGUUAGACUGAUAUGUACGUCCCUCGGGGCGUAUAGACUGAUAUGUACGUCCUUCGGGGCGUUAGACUGAAAUGUGUAUCCUACGGGAUCACAAGACUGCGACUGUACAGGGUGUCCCAAUAGAACUUUAACAAUUUAUUUUCCCCUGACGAGACCAGUAGAGGGUCUCUUACUGAGUAUUGUUAUACUCACCCUUCUUAUGUUUAAUUUUCAGGCAAAGGUAAUAAAGGUGGCAAACCGGCGAGGGGCAGGAAGGAAGCGUGAUGCCAUAGGAAACGUGUAAUUGCUUCCGCUUAAUUAAGAUUGAUUUGAAAUUUAAUUUACAAACGUUUGUUGUAAACAGUAUUAUUUUAUGUUUUCUUGAAUGUUUAAAAAUCAGGCCUGACUUGAAGAUGUUUUUUUUUUUUAAUUUGCUUACGUUUUGUUUUAUAUUAAUCAAAGUCUUUAUUUUGUUAAAAAUUAACGAUCUCGACUUACUUAGAAAAGUUGGGUCGUUACAGUUGGUAUCAGAGCCUAAGUUUUAGGUUCUGUAGACUGACUUACGAUGUAAGUCUAUGUUUUUGUGUUCCUAUGGCUAACGCGACCCUUCGUCUCUCGUCAGGUAUGCUUUAUGCUUAUAUGUAUGGUUUAUGUAUAUGACCUUGCCUAAAUUAAACUAGAUUGCAUGACGAUAAAGACUUGCUUAUGUUAUGAUUAAGAUUUUGUUAAAGAGUGUUGUUGGUGGAUAAUAGGAAUUAUGCCGCCAAGGGAAGAAGUACGUAGAGGAGGUCGUAGAGGCCGAGGUAGAGGAGCAGGAGGCCGAGGUAGAGGAGUAGGUCGUAAUCAGCCUACUGAGGGUCAAGCUGAACAUCGAAUUCCUGCUGCACCCGUGACUCACGUCGAGUUUGAUGCACUGUCUGCUCACAUGGAGCAGAGGUUUACAGAACUUAUGACAGCCAUAGCUCAAAACCAGCAGGCACCUGCAGUCCCACCUGCACCUGUAGUUCCCCCUGCACCAGCAGCCCCUCCUGCACAAGAAUUACCUAACCAACUUUCUGCUGAGGCGAAACAUUUGAGGGACUUUCGGAAGUAUGACCCUCAGACGUUUGAUGGGUCACUGGAGGAUCCUACUAAAGCUGAAAUGUGGUUGUCCUCUGUGGAAACCAUAUUUAAUUACAUGAGAUGUCCCGAGGAGCACAGAGUUCAGUGUGCUGCUUUUCUACUGAGGGACAGAGGCAUUAUCUGGUGGAGGACUACAAUGCGCAUGCUAGGGUGGAGAUGUGAGGCAGAUUACCUGGGAUCAGUUUAAGAACUGCUUCUAUACCAAGUUUUUCUCGGCUAACCUUAGAGACGCCAAAAGCCAGGAAUUCUUGGAGUUGAAGCAAGGAUAUAUGACAGUCGAGGAGUACGACCAGGAGUUUGAUAUGCUGUCACGUUUUGCCCCUGAGCUUGUUAGUAAUGAGCAGGCUAGAGCUGAUAGGUUUGUCAAGGGAUUGAGAGAUGAAAUUAGGGGUUUUGUGCGAGCACUAAAGCCCACUACCCAAGCUGAAGCACUUGGCGUCUGGCAGUGGAUAUGAGUAUUGGGAAGGAUGAAAGACAGCCAAGGAGCUUUAAUAAGGGAGUCGGUUGGGAUGGUCGUCGUCGGGUCAAAAGAGAAAAGUAGAGCAGAGAACUGUAGGAGUUCCUCAGAGGAACUUGAGACCAGGUGAUCCUUUUCGCAGUUUCCAGCAGAGUUCUGGCGGUGCAGGAGACACUACUCAAGAGAGGCCAGUAUGUAAUACGUGUGGGAAACGCCACCUGGGUCGUUGUUUGAUGGGAACGAGAGUCUGUUAUAAGUGCAAGCAAGAGGGACACAUGGCUGAUAGGUGUCCCUUGAGAUCUACUGGGGCUGGAUCGAGCAGUCAGGGAGAGAGACCUCCACAGCGGGGUACAAUCUUUGCCACUAAUAGAUCAGAGGCAGAGAAGGCCGGCACAGUAGUGACAGGUACAUUACCAGUAUUAGGGCAUUUUGCCUUGACCUUGUUUGACUCGGGAUCUUCUCAUUCAUUUAUUUCAUCGCUUUUUGUGACGCAUGCAUGCUUAGAGGUGGAACCCUUAGACUAUGUUUUGUCAGUGUCUACACCGUCUGGAGAAAUUAUGUUGUCUAAGGAAAAGAUUAAAGCAUGUGAAAUUGAGAUAGCUGGUCGUGUGCUGGACGUAACCUUGUUGGUAUUAGAUAUGCGUGACUUUGAUGUAAUUUUAGGUAUGGAUUGGCUAGCUACUAAUCAUGCUAGUAUUGAUUGUUCUCGUAAGGAAGUUGUGUUUAGUCCCCCUACUGCAUCUAGCUUUAAAUUCAAGGGAGUAGGAACAGUAGUACUGCCUAAAGUAAUCUCAGCUAUGAAAGCUAGUAAACUACUCAGCCAGGGUACUUGGAGUAUUUUGGCAAGUGUGGUGGAUACUAGGGAAGUGUGAGACUUCUUUAACUUCAGAACCUGUGGUAAGAGAAUACCCAGAUGUAUUUCCAAAAGAUCUUCCAGGACUACCGCCACAUAGAGAGGUUGAUUUUGCCAUUGAGUUGGAGCCAAACACUACUCCUAUUUCUAGAGCCCCUUAUAGGAUGGCUCCUGCUGAGUUGAAAGAACUGAAGGUACAGUUACAGGAAUUGCUUGACAAAGGCUUUAUUCGACCUAGUGUGUCACCUUGGGGUGCACCAGUAUUGUUUGUGAAGAAGAAGGAUGGGUCGAUGCGUCUUUGCAUUGACUAUAGAGAGUUGAAUAAAGUAACAGUCAAGAACAGAUAUCCUUUACCCAGAAUCGAUGAUUUGUUCGAUCAGUUACAGGGAGCCACGGUGUUCUCUAAGAUUGACUUACGGUCAGGUUAUCACCAGUUGAGGAUUAGAGACCGUGAUAUUCCUAAGACUGCUUUUCGUUCGAGGUAUGGACAUUAUGAAUUCAUAGUAAUGUCUUUUGGUUUGACUAAUGCACCUGCUGUAUUUAUGGAUUUGAUGAACAGGGUGUUUAAGGAUUUCUUGGACACUUUUGUGAUAGUCUUCAUUGAUGAUAUUUUGGUUUAUUCCAAGACUGAAGCCGAACAUGAGGAACACUUACAUAAGGUGUUAGAGACUCUUCGAGUCAAUAAACUGUAUGCUAAGUUCUCUAAGUGCGAAUUUUGGUUGAAGCAGGUGGCUUUUCUUGGUCAUGUGGUUUCCAGUGAGGGAGUUUCAGUAGACCCUGCAAAGAUAGAAGCGGUUACCAGUUGGUCUCGACCCUCUACAGUUAGUGAGGUUCGUAGUUUUCUGGGUUUAGCAGGGUACUACCGGAGGUUUGUGGAGGAUUUUUCACGUUUGGCUACUCCUUUGACUCAGUUGACAAGGAAGGGAACUCCGUUUGUUUGGAGUCCAGCUUGUGAGGAUAGUUUUCAGAACCUUAAGCAAAGGUUAGUUACUGCACCGGUCCUUACUGUACCAGAUGGAUCUGGAAGUUUUGUGAUUUACAGUGAUGCUUCCAAGAAAGGACUGGGUUGUGUUUUGAUGCAGAAAGGUAAGGUGGUUGCUUAUGCCUCUCGUCAGUUGAAGAGUCACGAGCAGAACUACCCCACACAUGAUUUGGAGUUGGCAGCAGUGGUUUUUGCAUUGAAGAUAUGGAGACAUUACUUGUACGGUGAAAAGAUACAAAUCUUUACUGACCAUAAGAGCCUAAAGUACUUCUUCACUCAGAAGGAGUUGAAUAUGAGACAGCGAAGGUGGCUCGAGUUGGUAAAAGAUUAUGACUGUGAGAUAUUGUACCAUCCUGGUAAGGCGAAUGUGGUGGCUGAUGCUCUUAGUAGAAAAGUAUCACAUUCGGCAGCACUCAUUACUAGACAGGUACCAUUGCAUCGAGACUUGGAGAGAGCUGAGAUUGCAGUGUCUGUGGGGAGAGUCACCUCACAGCUAGCUCAAUUAACGGUGCAACCGACUCUGAGGCACAAGAUUGUUGAUGCUCAGAGUAAUGAUCCUUAUUUGAUGGAGAGACGUCGCCUUGUUGAAACAGGGCAGACUGAUGAGUUCUCCAUAUCCUCUGAUGGUGGGUUGAUGUUUGAGAGACGUUUAUGUGUGCCAGCGAACAGUACAGUUAAGAUUGACUUACUAGAUGAAGCCCAUAAUUCCCCAUUUUCCAUGCAUCCUGGUAGCACGAAAAUGUAUCAGGAUCUAAAACGAUUUUAUUGGUGGCGGAAUAUGAAAAGGGAAGUGGCGGAAUUUGUUAGUAAGUGUCUAGUAUGUCAGCAAGUUAAGGCACCUAGACAGAAACCAGCAGGUUUAUUACAACCUUUAAGUGUGCCAGAGUGGAAGUGGGAGAAUGUGUCGAUGGAUUUUAUUUCAGGGCUGCCUAAGACCCUGAAGGGUUUCACAGUGAUUCUGGUUGUCAUAGACAGGCUUACGAAAUCGGCACAUUUUGUACCAGGAAAAUCCACUUAUACUGCUAGUAAGUGGGCAGAGUUGUAUUUAACUGAGAUUGUGAGACUGCAUGGAGUGCCUGUAUCGAUUGUUUCUGAUAGGGAUGCACGGUUUACUUCCAAGUUUUGGAAGGGACUUCAGACUGCUAUGGGUACGAGAUUGGAUUUCAGUACAGCCUUUCAUCCACAGACUGAUGGUCAAACUGAACGUUUGAACCAAGUUUUAGAGGAUAUGCUACGAGCUUGUGUUAUAGAGUUUCCAGGUAGUUGGGACUCUCAUCUACAUUUGAUGGAGUUUGCUUAUAACAACAGUUUCCAGGCUACCAUCGGUAUGGCACCAUUUGAGGCUUUGUAUGGCAAAUGUUGUAGAACCCCUGUUUGUUGGAGUGAGGUUGGUGAACAUAGAUUGAUGGGACCUGAAUUAGUUCGGUCUACUAAUGAGGCUAUUCAAACGAUUAGAGCACGUAUGCAAACAGCGCAGAGUAGACAGAAGAGUUAUGCAGAUGUACGGCGAAAAGACCUUAAGUUCGAUGUGGGAGAAAAGGUAUUCUUGAAGGUAGCACCUAUGAAGGGUGUUAUGCGUUUUGAGAAGAAAGGAAAGUUAAGUCCUCGUUUUGUUGGACCAUUUGAGAUCUUAGAGAGGGUUGGUGUUGUGGCGUAUCGCUUGGCAUUACCACCAUCUCUCUCUGCAGUUCAUAAUGUUUUUCAUGUUUCGAUGUUGAGGAAGUAUGUGGCCGAUACGUCUCAUGUAGUGGACUAUGAACCCUUGGAGAUUGAUGAGCAUUUGAGCUAUGUAGAACAACCUGUGGAGAUUCUGGCUAGAGAGGUAAAGAUGCUUCGUAAUAGAAGCAUUCCAUUAGUAAAGGUUUUGUGGCGGAAUCAUCGAAUUGAAGAGGCGACAUGGGAGCGAGAGGAAGAAAUGAGGACUCGUUAUCCAGAGUUAUUUCAGGAUUAGAACUUUCGAGGACGAAAGUUUCUUAAGGAGGGAAGAAUGUAAUGCCCCAAAGGUAUGUAUAUAUAUAUUUUGUUUUUAAUUUUAUAUAUAUAUAUAUAUUUUUAUACUUAAUUUAAAUAAAAAGGAAAAGAAAAAGAAAUCUAUCUCUCUCUCUCUCUCGCGCGCACACAACCCCCUCUCAUUUUUCUUUUCUUCUCCUUCCGGUACCCUAGCAACCGCCCACCCACCUUCCCCUUCUCUCCGUUCGCAGCGCAGCAACCGCCAUCCCAUCCAUUCUCCUUCCCGUUCGUAGCAACCGCCGCCGACCAUCUCCUCUCUCCCUUCUCCUUCAUUUUUCUGGCGCCGCCGUUACCCAAACCCCCAACUGCUCGUCGCGGUUCGUCAGCGCCUCCCUCCUGUCCAGAUCCGCAAUCGUUCGAGCCACUUCAUCACACUGUCCGUCAUCUUCUGCUAGUCGCAUUGCUCGGAAAUUUGCGUUGCUCAGCUUGCACAAGUCUUCUGCCUCACGUUUUGUGCCGUCGUGACGUCCGCAGCCGUUCCACACCGCCACGACUUUCCAUAUUCCAACUGAGGGUUUUGUUCCGCUUUCGUCAACCAUAUGCGCCGUCGCGUCUGUUCGUCGGCCGACAGUAAGGUAGCAUCGUGCUUCUUCUUCCAGCCGCGAUUCACAAACCGACGUACACUCUAAUCUGUUUGUACGAUCUUUGUCGUUUAGGCUCGAUCGCCGUUGCCGCUAUUUUGUUGUGAGUUCUCUGAUAAGUGAAAUUGAUGGUUUCUACGUGAUGGAUUGUUAAGAUGAAAUAUCAAAUUAAACGUUUGGUUAACAUUGUUCUUGAAGGUGUUGGAAGUAACGUUGAGUUCCUUGAAUUCACAACCAACUUGUAAUUUGUUGGAGUUCAGUUCGCUAAUACCUUGGUGUCUUUCAUUGGAUAUAGUUUGUUCGAGAAAUUGAGUUACCUUAAGGUAAGGGGUUUUCUACUGGACUCACUUAUGAUUGUGAAUUGUAUGUCUGAAUGAUUAUCUUUGACUGAGUAAAGAUGUUGAGAUGAUACUUAUGAAUGUACACUGUGGAUUGACUGAAAAUAUAUAUAUAUGCAUAGGAAUUGAAGUAGACUUAAUGUUGAAUGCAUAUUGUGAUCGUCAUGGAAUAUAUAUAUAUGUGUGUGGAUGUGGACAGGACGAAAAUUGUAGAUUAUGCUUGUAUGAGAUGCAGAUGCGAUCUUGUGAUUGUCGUUUAGAUUGGGUGUCGUUACGCUAAAGUAUGACUGUGUGCUGGUGAUCUGAGGGGUGUAUUGACUGUACAGUGGAUUGACUGAUGUAUUAGUAUUUUAUUGACAGACAUAUGAUUGUAGUAAAAUAAGUUGACUGUUAGGAUGUUGAAGGAAAGGACUUUGUGAUUUGAAGUAACUGAAAGAUGGGUUGAAUGGAAUGAGGGGAUAAAUUGUUAGGUUGUAUUGGGAUGUUUACCUUGUAGGUGUCCCACGGGAUCACCAAUUUAUUUUGCACCUUCGGGAGCAUUUGACUGAUAUGUGUUUCUGCAGAACACUAGACUGAUAUGAACGUCCCUCUGGGCGUUAGACUGAUAUGAACGUCCCUCGGGGCGUUAGACUGAUAUGUACGUCCCUCGGGGCGUUAGACUGAUAUGUACGUCCUUCGGGGCGUUAGACUGAAAUGUGUAUCCUACGGGAUCACAAGACUGCGACUGUACAGGGUGUCCCAAUAGAACUUUAACAAUUUAUUUUCCCCUGACGAGACCAGUAGAGGGUCUCUUACUGAGUAUUGUUAUACUCACCCUUCUUAUGUUUAAUUUUCAGGCAAAGGUAAUAAAGGUGGCAAACCGGCGAGGGGCAGGAAGGAAGCGUGAUGCCAUAGGAAACGUGUAAUUGCUUCCGCUUAAUUAAGAUUGAUUUGAAAUUUAAUUUACAAACGUUUGUUGUAAACAGUAUUAUUUUAUGUUUUCUUGAAUGUUUAAAAAUCAGGCCUGACUUGAAGAUGUUUUUUUUUUUUAAUUUGCUUACGUUUUGUUUUAUAUUAAUCAAAGUCUUUAUUUUGUUAAAAAUUAACGAUCUCGACUUACUUAGAAAAGUUGGGUCGUUA
rnacentral:lncRNA from 1 species